GACGAACGCUGGCGGCGUGCUUAACACAUGCAAGUCGAGCGGUAAGGCCCUUUCGGGGGUACACGAGCGGCGAACGGGUGAGUAACACGUGGGUGACCUGCCUUUAGCUCUGGGGAUAAGCCUGGGAAACUGGGUCUAAUACCGGAUACGACUCCGCGGUGCAUGGCUGUGGGGUGGAAAGCCUUGUGCGGCUGGAGAUGGGCCCGCGGCCUAUCAGCUUGUUGGUGGGGUGAUGGCCUACCAAGGCGACGACGGUAGCCGGCCUGAGAGGGCGACCGGCCACACUGGGACUGAGACACGGCCCAGACUCCUACGGGAGGCAGCAGGUGGGGAAUCUUGCGCGAAUAGGGCGAAAGCCUGACGCAGCGACGCCGCGUGA
rnacentral:rRNA from 1 species